rnacentral:rRNA from 1 species
AGAGUUUGAUCAUGGCUCAGAACGAACGCUGGCGGCGCGUUUUAAGCAUGCAAGUCGAGCGGUAAGCUAACUUCGGUUAGCCUAGAGCGGCGGACGGGUGAGUAACACGUGGAUAAUCUACCCCCUUGUUUGGGAUAGCCUGUGGAAACAUAGGGUAAUACCAAAUAAUACUCUUUUAUCACAAGAUAAGAGAAGGAAAGGCGCCUCAAAGCGUCGCAAGAGGAUGAGUCUGCGUCCCAUUAGCUAGACGGCAGGGUAAAAGCCUACCGUGGCAAUGAUGGGUAGCCGGCCUGAGAGGGUGAUCGGCCACAUUGGAACUGAGAUACGGUCCAGACUCCUACGGGGGGCAGCAGCUAAGAAUCUUCCACAAUGGACGAAAGUCUGACGGAGCGACGCCGCGUGAACGAUGAAGGCCGUGAGGUUGUAAAGUUCUUUUCGGGAGGAGGAAUAAUGUUUGCAGGGAAUGGCAGGCAGAUGACGUGAAUCCCGGAAUAAGCCCCGGCUAACUACGUGCCAGCAGCCGCGGUAACACGUAGGGGGCAAGCGUUGUUCGGAAUCAUUGGGCGUAAAGGGCGUGCAGGCGGUGUUGCAAGUCUGGCGUGAAAGAUCUCGGCUUAACCGAGGGAACGCGCUGGAAACUGUAAUACUAGAGUACAGGAGGGGACAUUGGAAUUCCAGGUGUAGGGGUGAAAUCUGUAGA